ncrna:unclassified sequences type-P1 twister ribozyme
UGUCUAAUGCAGCCCCCGUAAGGGGACGGUCGCAAGCCCGUGGAAAUGCAGAGCGGACA